rnacentral:rRNA from 1 species
UACGAAGGGGGCUAGCGUUGUUCGGAAUUACUGGGCGUAAAGCGCGCGUAGGCGGACAUCUAAGUCAGGGGUGAAAUCCCAAGGCUCAACCUUGGAACUGCCUUUGAUACUGGACGUCUGGAGUUCGGGAGAGGUGAGUGGAAUUCCGAGUGUAGAGGUGAAAUUCGUAGAUAUUCGGAGGAACACCAGAAGCGAAGGCGGCUCACUGGCCCGAUACUGACGCUGAGGCGCGAAAGCGUGGGGAGCAAACAGG